rnacentral:rRNA from 1 species
AGUUUGAUCCUGGCUCAGGAUGAACGCUAGCUACAGGCUUAACACAUGCAAGUCGAGGGGCAGCAUGAACUUAGCUUGCUAAGUUUGAUGGCGACCGGCGCACGGGUGAGUAACACGUAUCCAACCUGCCGAUGACUCGGGGAUAGCCUUUCGAAAGAAAGAUUAAUACCCGAUGGCAUAGUUCUUCCGCAUGGUAGAACUAUUAAAGAAUUUCGGUCAUCGAUGGGGAUGCGUUCCAUUAGGUUGUUGGCGGGGUAACGGCCCACCAAGCCUUCGAUGGAUAGGGGUUCUGAGAGGAAGGUCCCCCACAUUGGAACUGAGACACGGUCCAAAUCCUACGGGAGGCAGCAGUGAGGAAUAUUGGUCAAUGGACGAGAGUCUGAACCAGCCAAGUAGCGUGAAGGAUGACUGCCCUAUGGGUUGUAAACUUCUUUUAUACGGGAAUAAAGUGAGGCACGCGUGCCUUUUUGUAUGUACCGUAUGAAUAAGGAUCGGCUAACUCCGUGCCAGCAGCCGCGGUAAUACGGAGGAUCCGAGCGUUAUCCGGAUUUAUUGGGUUUAAAGGGAGCGUAGGCGGACGCUUAAGUCAGUUGUGAAAGUUUGCGGCUCAACCGUAAAAUUGCAGUUGAUACUGGGUGUCUUGAGUACAGUAGAGGCAGGCGGAAUUCGUGGUGUAGCGGUGAAAUGCUUAGAUAUCACGAAGAACUCCGAUUGCGAAGGCAGCCUGCUGGACUGUAACUGACGCUGAUGCUCGAAAGUGUGGGUAUCAAACAGGAUUAGAUACCCUGGUAGUCCACACAGUAAACGAUGAAUACUCGCUGUUUGCGAUAUACAGUAAGCGGCCAAGCGAAAGCGUUAAGUAUUCCACCUGGGGAGUACGCCGGCAACGGUGAAACUCAAAGGAAUUGACGGGGGCCCGCACAAGCGGAGGAACAUGUGGUUUAAUUCGAUGAUACGCGAGGAACCUUACCCGGGCUUGAAUUGCAACUGAAUGAUGUGGAGACAUGUCAGCCGCAAGGCAGUUGUGAAGGUGCUGCAUGGUUGUCGUCAGCUCGUGCCGUGAGGUGUCGGCUUAAGUGCCAUAACGAGCGCAACCCUUAUCGAUAGUUACNAUCNNNNUAUGCUGGGGACUCUGUCGAGACUGCCGUCGUAAGAUGUGAGGAAGGNGGA